rnacentral:piRNA from 1 species
GGUUUUACAGAGUCAACAAAGCAAGU